rnacentral:piRNA from 1 species
UGGGAUAAGAAGUGGCAGAAGACAAAUGC